rnacentral:lncRNA from 1 species
UUAUUUUAACAUUUGUAGUAAAAUUUAUGUGAAGCAUUAAGGAAUAUUGUAAGUGCCAAAAAAUGAUAAAAUUACAUAUUCAAUUAAGGCAUUUGGGUUGAUCUGGUGGCAUUGACUUGAGACCUGAGAGUGUGCUCCUCCUUAAGGUCUCACGUUCCAUUCUCUCGGGUGCCAAUUUGAAUGAGCCAAUUUAGCUUAAAAUAAAAUAAAAUUAAAGCAUUUCUUAACUUAUUUUGCAAGUAAUUCAUAUCAAAUUCCCCAUUAUUAUGUAAAUAGUUGUUUUAUUAGUAAAAUGAUCAACUUAUGCUAUUUCUAUCUAAUUCCUACACUUUUUGUAGGUAAAUUUGGAUUUAAUGGAUUGUGGAAUGAAGCAAACUGUCAAAUAUUGCAGAAAAUCAAUAUCGCUUAGCGAGCUCCCAGCGAGAAAUUGGCAGGAAGUUCAGGCCUUCAACAUGCUGUAGCGAGAUCAGGCAGUUAGUGGUCCACGUGUCAGCAACCCUAUCGGUGAUGAAAGGGUUUCUCGCUAAGCGAGACUGUAAUUUCAAGACUUGUAUAAAUAGCCAUCGGUUGCUGAAAAAUAGAGACCGUUCCAUUCUAAGACACAAAACUCGUUCAGGAGAGACCUAAGAGGCAGAUCCAAGGGGAUUUGAAGGUGAAUACACAACAAUAGUCGACGAAUCAUCAUUGAUAUGCUUGUUCAUAUCUUUUCUUCUUAAUCUUAUGUAAAGCUAUCAUGAAAAUGAAUAUUUAAUCUGUCUUUUGUUGGGAUUAGGUGUAAAUUACUCUACUAAUAUGUGUUUUUAUUGAUCAUGGUGUUAUAUAUGGUUUUAGUUAUUCAUUAA